rnacentral:rRNA from 1 species
AAACGCUUGAAGUCAGACUUGCUAUUCGGAGUUCAGCCGCAAGGUGUAUUCUUCGAUUUGCAGGCCAGCAUCAGUUUUUGGGGGUGGAAAAUCGUGGUUUGAAGGUAGCAGUUUCGGCUGUGUUAUAGCUUUCCACUGGAUUCAUCUUCGGGGACUGAGGAACGCAGUACGCUUUUUGCAAGGCUCUCGAGCUUUUCGUACUUAGGAUGCUGGUGGAAUGGCUUUAAACGA